rnacentral:lncRNA from 1 species
GCUAAUUUAAUUAUGUCUGCAUGUAAUGUUGCACUUUUCGCCGCUUCACUGUAUUUAUCUCGAUUUUUGAUUAUCUAUCGUUGCACCUACAGCUCAGUGGAAAUCAAUUUACUUUUAAUUGGCCUCCGCGUUUGCGAAGCCAACUGAUUGCCGCGAACCACGUCGCGCCCGUGUUCGCGUUGGGCUACUCCUCAUGCCUGCUGCUUUGCCUUGAUGGCGCUUUCACAGACCGCAAAUUCUCAGUUUUACUGGCGGUUGCGGUCGAUUAAGUUUCGAAAAUUUUCGGCAAUUUUCUGCACAUAAACGUUUAAAGCAUGUAGAAAAUUAAAAGUCCUAGACCUUUUUAAAAUAAUAAAAAUAAAAGUGAAAAUUUUGUUAAUAAAUCAUUAAAGGCGAAGAGCUUUUGUAGCUAACGAAGCUGUGAUUAAAAAAGUGUGCUAAUCAUGAAAACCUAAAGCAAUGCGGCAAAUUUGAAAUUGUUCGUUUAUACCUAAAGUUAUGUAAUUAAUGAGAACCGGAAUAUUUAAAUUGAAAAAAUGAAGUUCGAUAAGGAUUAAGCAUCUAAAUAAAUGCAAUUGGAAGGCAUGUGUGCGUGCUCUUAGCUAAUUGACAAGUGAAAUAUUGAAACAAGAUAAAAAAGGCAAGCAAUUAUUUUUACAACACCACAGCAUGCGGCAGUGAGCAGCCUUUUAUGGGCUGUAUUAGCUAGACGGAUACUGUUUUUAUUUUUUUUUACACAAAUAACAACAAUGCGCGGCUGAUGAACUCUUUUGCCGGCAAUAACCUAAAAUUGGAACUGCUCACCACCAACGCCAGCACAUAAGCAGACAUGUGCCUUUGAGCGUAGGCAUGAAACAUAAUUUUUCGGAACCAAGUACAUAGUAUGGGUGUAUACUUUUAUUCGGUAAAAGUAUAGAUUCCAAUAGAUAUCAGCCGAUAAGUGAAGUGUUGUAAAACAAUGAACACAAGCAGAUUUUUUUUGUAUCCAAAAGUAAGUUUGAAAAUUUUUUGUACAUGAAUUUUUAGCUUUCU